rnacentral:rRNA from 1 species
GAUGAACGCUGGCGGCGUGCCUAAUACAUGCAAGUCGAGCGAACAGACGAGGAGCUUGCUCCUCUGACGUUAGCGGCGGACGGGUGAGUAACACGUGGAUAACCUACCUAUAAGACUGGGAUAACUUCGGGAAACCGGAGCUAAUACCGGAUAAUAUAUUGAACCGCAUGGUUCAAUAGUGAAAGACGGUUUUGCUGUCACUUAUAGAUGGAUCCGCGCCGCAUUAGCUAGUUGGUAAGGUAACGGCUUACCAAGGCAACGAUGCAUAGCCGACCUGAGAGGGUGAUCGGCCACACUGGGACUGAGACACGGUCCAGACUCCUACGGGAGGCAGCAGUAGGGAAUCUUCCGCAAUGGGCGAAAGCCUGACGGAGCAACGCCGCGUGAGUGAUGAAGGUCUUCGGAUCGUAAAACUCUGUUAUUAGGGAAGAACAAAUGUGUAAGUAACUAUGCACGUCUUGACGGUACCUAAUCAGAAAGCCACGGCUAACUACGUG